GACCGCGUAGCUCAGUUGGCAGAGCAUUGGGCUAGUAUUCCAAAGGUCGUAGGUUCGAUUCCCACCGAGGCCA